rnacentral:tRNA from 2 species
UGCAGAUAGUCCUUACUGGUAAAGGAGGUGCUCUGUAAAAGCAUUGACUGUGUCAUUGUGGGUUCGAGUCCCACAUCUGCAA